CCCCUUUGGGAUAAAGGUGCGGGAUGGAGUGUAGACGGCGGCUAAUGCGAUCAUUACCCACUGAACUUAAGCAUAUCAAUAAGCGCAGGAAAAGAAACCAACAGGGAUUGCCUCAGUAACGGCGAGUGAAGCGGCAACAGCUCAAAUUUGAAAUCUGGCCUCUCGGGGUCCGAGUUGUAAUUUGUAGAGGAUGUUUCGGGUACCGCCCCGGUCUAAAUUUCUUGGAACAGAAUGUCAAAGAGGGUGAGAGUCCCGUCUUGGACCGGCGGUAGGGCCUAUGUGAAACUCCUUCGACGAGUCGAGUUGUUUGGGAAUGCAGCUCAAAAUGGGUGGUAAAUUUCAUCUAAAGCUAAAUAUUGGCCAGAGACCGAUAGCGCACAAGUAGAGUGAUCGAAAGAUGAAAAGCACUUUGAAAAGAGAGUUAAACAGUAUGUGAAAUUGUUGAAAGGGAAGCGCUUGCAACCAGACUUGAGCGCGGCGGUUCCCCUAGCCUUUUGGCUAGGCUACUCCGUCGUGACCAGGCCAACAUCGGUUCUGAGGGUCGGUCAAAGGCCCCGGGAAUGUAUCUACCUACGGGUAGACUUAUAGACCGGGGUGUCAUGCGGCCUCUCGGGACCGAGGAACGCGCUUCGGCUCGGAUGUUGGCGUAAUGGUUGUCAGCGACCCGUCUUGAAACACGG
rnacentral:rRNA from 1 species